rnacentral:rRNA from 1 species
AUUGAACGCUGGCGGCAUGCCUUACACAUGCAAGUCGAACGGCAGCACGGGUGCUUGCACCUGGUGGCGAGUGGCGAACGGGUGAGUAAUACAUCGGAACGUACCUUAUCGUGGGGGAUAACGCAGCGAAAGCUGUGCUAAUACCGCAUACGCCCUGAGGGGGAAAGCGGGGGAUCGCAAGACCCCGCGCGAUUAGAGCGGCCGAUGCCUGAUUAGCUUGUUGGUGGGGUAAAAGCCCACCAAGGCGACGAUCAGUAGCUGGUCUGAGAGGACGAUCAGCCAAACUGGGACUGAGACACGGCCCAGACUCCUACGGGAGGCAGCAGUGGGGAAUUUUGGACAAUGGGGGCAACCCUGAUCCAGCAAUGCCGCGUGAGUGAAGAAGGCCUUCGGGUUGUAAAGCUCUUUUGUCAGGGAAGAAACACCGGCUCUAACACAGUCCGGGAAUGACGGUACCUGAAGAAUAAGCACCGGCUAACUACGUGCCAGCCGCCGCCGUAA